rnacentral:rRNA from 1 species
GCGGAGGAAAAGAAACCAACAGGGAUUGCCCCAGUAACGGCGAGUGAAGCGGCAACAGCUCAAAUUUGAAAUCUGGUCCCCCCGCGGGGCCCGAGUUGUAAUUUGAAGAGGAUGCUUCUGGCAAGGUGCCGUCCGAGUUCCCUGGAACGGGACGCCGCAGAGGGUGAGAGCCCCGUACGGUCGGACGCCGAGCCUCUGUGAAGCUCCUUCGACGAGUCGAGUAGUUUGGGAAUGCUGCUCAAAAUGGGAGGUAAACCCCUUCUAAAGCUAAAUACCGGCCAGAGACCGAUAGCGCACAAGUAGAGUGAUCGAAAGAUGAAAAGCACUUUGAAAAGAGAGUUAAAAAGCACGUGAAAUUGUUGAAAGGGAAGCGCUUGCGACCAGACUCGCGCCCGUCGGAUCAGCCGUCGCUCGUCGGCGGCGCACUCCGGCGGGCUCGGGCCAGCAUCAGUUCGCCUCGGGGGGAGAAAGGCGGCAGGAAUGUGGCUCUACGGAGUGUUAUAGCCUGCCGUACAAUACCCCCGGGCGG